GAUGAACGCUGACAGAAUGCUUAACACAUGCAAGUCUUUGGCGAAUCUGUGCUUGCACAGGCUAGCCAAGGCGGACGGGUGAGUAACGCGUAAAGAACUUGCCCUGCAGACAGGGAUAACAGACGGAAACGACUGAUAACCCCUGAUACAGUUGCCGGCACGCAUGUGCUUGGCAAUGAAAAGAGAUGCUGCAGGAGAGCGUUGCGUCCUAUUAGCUUGUUGGUGAGGUGACGGCCCACCAAGGCGAUGAUAGGUAGCCGGCCUGAGAGGGUGAACGGCCACCAGGGGACGGAGAUACGGCCCUUACUCCUACGGGAGGCAGCAGUGGGGAAGAUUGGACAAUGGGGGCAACCCUCAUCCAGCAAUUCUGUGUGCACGAAGAAGGUUUUCGGAGUGUAAAGUGCUUUCAGCAGGGAAGAAGAAAGUGACGGUACCUGCAGAAGAAGCGACGGCUAAAUACGUG
rnacentral:rRNA from 1 species